UGAUGAUGAGAAUCACCGGAAGCCGUCCAAAAAUGCCCCUGUUUUUGGUAUGUGGCCGCCCGUAAAUGGUAGCUAUUAAAAAAAAAAAAAAGGGCGGAAAGGGUUUUUCAUUUCCCUCUCUAUUUUCUCUUUUGACGUGCGCGCCCCCUCCCAUUAUCAUCUCUCUCUCUUCUCGUGCGUGCCCCCUCCCAUUCUCAUCUCUCUCUCUUCUUGUGCGCUUCUCCCAUCUUGGAUUUGGAUAUUCAAUCUCCCAUCUUACCUCCAAAUCUCAUUCUCUCUUUUAUUUCUCUUCAUUUCUUCUCAUUAUCAGGUUCUUAGAUCAGAUCUAGAGCUACAGUUCGAGUAGGGCGGCAACCUGCGGACGUGGUCAUCAACGCAUCUGAUCCGAAGAUCAUUCCAACGGAUCGAGGGUACUCUUUCUUUCUCAACAGUGAGCAAUCAAGGACCAUAGCUCGUUCUCUUCGAGGCACUCGAAGUGAUCUCACUCGAAAUCUCCUCAGCAGUCCGAUCCCCCCCGAAUGGGCCACAUUGCCCUCAACGGGCAUGUAAAUCACUUCCAAUCAUUUCUUAUAUUUUAAUUCGUUAGUUCGACUGAAAUAAUAUGUUUUGCUGUGUUUGGAUGCACUAGCUAAUUGAUUUGCAAACAGAACUUUAAUUCGAAGAGGAAAUGAAACAAUAAUGUUUCUUGGUGUUCGUUAUGAGGACAUAGCCUGCAAAUUGCAAUUACAUACCUUUCAAGUUCAUACACUCAUCUGAAAGUGAUGAAUUACAAUUGCGGCCCAUACCCUCAAUAUGAAUGUUAAGGAAAUUGCAAUUUGGUUAUUUCCACUCAUAAUUGCAGUUCAAUUAGGUAGUGCAGCCAAAUGCACCCUCAAAAUGCAUCCACUCAUCACCUCUUUGGCGUGGUCAACUUGCAGUUCCCUGAUGGCAAAUCGGCUGUCGGGUCCGAUCCCUAAGGAGAUUGGAAACAUUGCCACUCUCCAGUACAUGUAUGUAUGUAGCAGUUUUUCUACAGGCAUUCUUCUUCUGGAAUCAUCUACUUGAUUUGAUCCAAGUGGACCAUUUUUGUAAGUGAACAUAUAUGGGCAUGUACAGGAACUUGGAGGCCAAUGGACUCUCGGGGCUCAUUCCUCCAGAGCUUGAGAACUUGAUCAAUCUCGAGGAACUAUAGAGAUAAUCACAGCAGAUUCAAUUUAAUUGGAAAAGGUCCGCCUUUCAGAUGGCUGGGAUUGUUCAGUGGAAGUCCAUCAAUCCCACAGUAGGGACCUGCAGAUGAACAAUCUGGAUCAAGGAAGGCGGCUCCACAUGAACACAUGCGAGUCUGAAUGGGAAAGAUGUCAAUUUCAUCUGAUUAGCUGAACUUUGGAUACUACCUUCUCACUUCACUUCCAAAAUGUGUGCAGUUCCCUUUCUUCAAACUGAUUGACAGGUGAGUUACCUAUAGAACUUGCUAGGCUGACCAAUCAGGUGGAUUUGUAAGUAUAAUUUCUGUUCUCGUCUUGCGAGUUUUUAGCUAUAGUCAAUAACCCAAACUAUUAGUGUUGAAGUGGCAAAACUCACUUCUGCUGAUGCAAUGCAGUUGGAUAAGUGACAACAAUUUCUCUGGAAAAUUACCUGAUUUCAUCCAAAACUGGAAACAGUUGAAAACAUUGCGCAUUCAAGGCACCUCAUUGGAAGGUCCUAUUCCUUCCGGGAUUUCUUCCUUGAAAAACUUAUCUGACCCGUUAGUGCUUCCUACUUCACUCUUUUGCCUGUCUUUUUCUUUCUAAAAUUUAUCUUUGGGUUUCAAUCAAUGUUCAUCGUAUUGUCAUUCUUAGGAGGAUCAGCAACUUAUCUGGAAUGGGUCGGGUUUUCCGCUGCUAAGUGAAAUGGUAUCCAUGAAAACAUUGAUACUGAGGAAUUGCCUGAUUCAUGGGCAUAUACCUGACUAUAUUGGGAAUAUGAGAGAUUUGAGAACACUAGAUCUCAGCUUCAACAACUUGACAGGCAAUGUUCUGAUCUCCUUGGAGAAGUUGCAAAAACUAGAUUUCAUGUUCUUGACCAGCAACAGGCUUACCGGACCUAUACCUCACUGGAUUUUGAAAACAAACAGAAAUGUGCAUGAUUCUCUUUUCCUCUUGAGAUUAUCUUUGCCUGCUAAGUGUUUCUAUGUAAGUUUGUAUGCAUCUUUCCAUUGCAUACAUGAGUUUGUUAGUCUAGUUUCUCUUAAGAAAUUUCUUCAUGUAACUUUCGUAGGUAACUGUUGAUUCCGAGCCCCAUCUUCCUUUCCCUUGUCUAUAGAUUUGAGGAUAAACUUUGUUUGGCGAAUUAUAAGAACUUAAAUGCAAGUUGACGAGAGAGGAUAAAUUAUUCUAUUUUUCGUUUGGUUGAGUUACUAAAAGGCAAUUAACUGGCAAAGAAGAAACUUGCUAGCAUUUGUUUUUGAAAACUGAUCGCCUACAGGUCUUUUUAGUGAUUUCUGAAUUCUUGUUUAAACUUUUGCUGUCAAGAAUAUCAUAAAUUUCCAACGGAAAAAUGCUUGUAGACAUGGGUCAUAGGUUAAGCUCAACCACAACUGGUUGUAGGUUUAGCUCCCUUAUGCAACUGCCACUUCCAAGCUCCCACACCCAAUUCCUGUUCCACUUCUUCCAAGCAGACACAUGGGGGGAUUUCUUUUUUUCUUUUUUUCUUUUUCUUUUUCUUUUUCUUUUUAAUCUUUCUUUUCUUUUAUUUUCUUUUUUGAAAUGAAACUACGAUGGUAUAUCAAACAUACAGUUUUUGACUUCAGUGAUGUAUUUAAAGUGAACAGAGGAAGAAUACAUGAAGCGAGUUUUGAAUUUACUGCUAAUGAAAUUGUUGUUCAUAUUUGGGCUUCACUCAAGCGGGACAGUUUGAACACAAUGUUUCCUACUCAAACAUAUGCAGGCUAAUCUUUCUUUGGCACUCGAAAAGUUUUUUUUUUUUCCUUGUAUUUUUGUACCAAGAAGGUCUGUCAUGGUCAUGCAAUUUUGGAAUGCAGUGAUCUUUCAUACAAUGAUCUCACACCAGAAAAGUCAAUAACAUCUCAGUGUCAACUAGGGAAUGUCAAUCUGUUUGCAAGCCACUCUUUGAUGGCGAACAGCACAUAUACAAAUUUCUUGGAGGACAACUCAUGCAUUGAUGAGCUCAAGCCUUGGAGUGAACCUUGUGUUUAGGUUUUGACAAGGGUUCGACCUAUCAGUAGUAGAGAAAGGGCUUUGCAAGGGUCUGGUAGAUGCUUGAGGCAGGAGAGUGCACAGACUUUAACGUGGCUAGGGCAUCCGGAGACGAGAUUUACCUUUGAUCAUGUAGCAUGCAAGACUAUAUCACAGGAAAAGCUUUUUGAGGUUGCAGGCCUGCCAAUGGUGGAGAAUUGCAUGUCUGGGUAUAAUAGUUGCAUGUUUGCAUAUGGCCAGGUAGGUCCCACUAAAGCUUUUGGUGGUUGUAAAGGUAUUGUAGGAGAGCUGAUGAGUUUUUGGAUGUCUUCAUGCAGAUGGGGAGUGGGAAGACAAAUACUAUGAUGGGUGACAUAUGUGAGAUGGACAAUGAACUUAGUGAAGAUUGUGGGAUGACACCUCGUAUUUUUGAAUAUCUAUUUAUGCGAAUUAGAGAGGAAGUGGAGAACCGGAGAGAUGAAAGAUU